AUUGAACGCUGGCGGCGGGCCUAACACAUGCAAGUCGAACGAGUGGCGGACGGGUGAGUAAUGUCUGGGAAACUGCCUGAUGGAGGGGGAUAACUAAUGGAAACGGUAGCUAAUACCGCAUACCAUCGGAUGUGCCCAGAUGGGUUUAGCUAGUCGGUGGGGUAAAGGCUCACCUAGGCGACGAGCCCUAGCUGGUCUGAGAGGAUGACAAGCCAAACUGGAAUUGAGACACGGUCCAGCCUCCUACGGGAGGAAGAAGGGGGGAAUAUUGGAAAAUGGGGGCAAGCCUGAUGCAGCCAGGCCGCGUGUAGGAAGAAGGCCUUCGGGUUGUAAAGUACUUUCAGCGGGGAGGCGUUACCCGCAGAAGAAGCACCGGCUAAUUCCGUGCCAGCCGCCGCGGUAUUC
rnacentral:rRNA from 1 species